rnacentral:tRNA from 1 species
GCCUCGGUAGUCUAAUGGCUGAGGACGCUCGUACGGAAUACAAAAGAUUCGGGUUCGACUCCCGGCCGAAAUA